GACGAACUUUGGCGGCGUGCUUAACACAUGCAAGUCGAACGGAAAGGCCCUGCUUUUGUGGGGUGCUCGAGUGGCGAACGGGUGAGUAACACGUGAGUAACCUGCCCUUGACUUUGGGAUAACUUCAGGAAACUGGGGCUAAUACCGGAUAGGAGCUCCUGCUGCAUGGUGGGGGUUGGAAAGUUUCGGCGGUUGGGGAUGGACUCACGGCUUAUCAGCUUGUUGGUGGGGUAGUGGCUUACCAAGGCUUUGACGGGUAGCCGGCCUGAGAGGGUGACCGGCCACAUUGGGACUGAGAUACGGCCCAGACUCCUACGGGAGGCAGCAGUGGGGAAUAUUGCACAAUGGGCGGAAGCCUGAUGCAGCAACGCCGCGUGCGGGAUGACGGCCUUCGGGUUGUAAACCGCUUUCGCCUGUGACGAAGCGUGAGUGACGGUAAUGGGUAAAGAAGCACCGGCUAACUACGUGCCAGCAGCCGCGGUGAUACGUAGGGUGCGAGCGUUGUCCGGAUUUAUUGGGCGUAAAGGGCUCGUAGGUGGUUGAUCGCGUCGGAAGUGUAAUCUUGGGGCUUAACCCUGAGCGUGCUUUCGAUACGGGUUGACUUGAGGAAGGUAGGGGAGAAUGGAAUUCCUGGUGGAGCGGUGGAAUGCGCAGAUAUCAGGAGGAACACCAGUGGCGAAGGCGGUUCUCUGGGCCUUUCCUGACGCUGAGGAGCGAAAGCGUGGGGAGCGAACAGGCUUAGAUACCCUGGUAGUCCACGCUGUAAACGGUGGGUACUAGGUGUGGGGUCCAUUCCACGGGUUCCGUGCCGUAGCUAACGCUUUAAGUACCCCGCCUGGGGAGUACGGCCGCAAGGCUAAAACUCAAAGGAAUUGACGGGGCCCCGCACAAGCGGCGGAGCAUGCGGAUUAAUUCGAUGCAACGCGUAGAACCUUACCUGGGUUUGACAUGGAUCGGGAGUGCUCAGAGAUGGGUGUGCCUCUUUUGGGGUCGGUUCACAGGUGGUGCAUGCCUGUCGUCAGCUCGUGUCGUGAGAUGUUGGGUUAAGUCCCGCAACGAGCGCAACCCUUGUUCACUGUUGCCAGCACGUUAUGGUGGGGACUCAGUGGAGACCGCCGGGGUCAACUCGGAGGAAGGUGGGGAUGACGUCAAGUCCACAUGCCCCUUAUGUCCAGGGCUUCACGCAUGCUACAAUGGCUGGUACAGAGAGUGGCGAGCCUGUGAGGGUGAGCGAAUCUCGGAAAGCCGGUCUCAGUUCGGAUUGGGGUCUGCAACUCGACCUCAUGAAGUCGGAGUCGCUAGUAAUCGCAGAUCAGCAACGCUGCGGUGAAUACGUUCCCGGGGCU
rnacentral:rRNA from 1 species